UGUAAGCGUAUACCAAAGUUGUUGCAGUUAAAACGCUCGUAGUCGGACUUUGGCGGUUCCGGAUGUGUGCACGUCGUGUGCGCACUUCGCGGGGAUUGCUUUUGUGGUCUUGCGUAGGAUGAGGCACUUUUAUUAGUGAACGUCCUCACGCAACCACUUUUUACUGUGAGAAAAUCAGAGUGCUCAAAGCAGGCAUUUGCCGUGAAUGUAUUAGCAUGGAAUAAUAGAAUAGGACUUGGUUCUAUUUUGUUGGUUUGUUGGGACUGAGUAAUGAUUAAGAGGGACAGUUGGGGGCAUUUGUAUUUCGGUGCUAGAGGUGAAAUUCUUAGAUUACCGAAAGACAAACUGCUGCGAAAGCGUCUGCCAAGGAUGUUUUCAUUGA
rnacentral:rRNA from 1 species